AUGCGCAGAAGCCGCAGGCGCGGCGGCGCAGUGGCGUUUCAGUGAGGGUGUCUGUGUGUUCUAGAGAAUGGGAUAGGAUUCCGGGGAGUGUAUUGGAGGGGCAUCAUGGUCGCGUGAAGAGAAAGGUGACUAAGAAAUCAAACAUGGGAAUCACAGUUUAGGAACAGUAAGGAUGCUGAACUUCAGGAAGGACCAUCCCUGAAAAAACUGGGCUCCUUAUAAAAAUACUCUGAAGUAAAUCACUGGAGAAUGCUGCUUUGAACAGCUACUGCUGCAUUUCAUAUUUUGAAUCAUGGACAAGCAAUUUGGUGUCUUCCAUGAUCACUGCUUAUGCUGGUAAGGUCUGAUGGGAGUUGCUGCCCAAAUCAUAUGAGGGGUACCAAUUGUCUUCCACCAUCUUGGAUCUUUGGCAAUUUAGCUAAUGUGGUUAUCUUACUGGGUGGAAUCAGAACCCAAGGAAUA